GUGCUAUGCCACUGCCCAUGCCACGUGUCACGCCUCAAUCUUAUUGGGGCGGACAGGCACCCGUAGCCACAAAGGCCCGAGAUAACCAAUUCAUAACUUUGUACUUCCCAUGCAUGUAACUAUGACAACCAAAUAUUCUGACAAACAUGAUAUUAUGUAUCGAUGAAAAUAAUUACACAUGCAAGCACAAACUGAUAUAUACAAUACUUGGCCGUUGGGGCCACCAUGUCUAAAAAUAAGACACUACCAUAACUUUACAUUAGUCCACAAAGCCUCUAAAAGAUACAUAGACUUAGUUAGGGUCGGGACAAACCCCCC
rnacentral:lncRNA from 1 species